ACAACACCCGCACAGCACCCACACACAAACAGCACACUCACACACAAACAGCACCCUGACAAACACACAACACACACACACAGCACACUAACAGGACCCGAACAAACACGCACACACAAACACCCUCUCACACACACACACACACACACAGCACACUACCAGUUCCCUCACAAACAGCACCCUCACACACAGCACACUAACAGCACCCUCACACACACACA